GACGAACGCUGGCGGCGUGCUUAACACAUGCAAGUCGAACGGAAAGGCCCUGCUUUUGUGGGGUGCUCGAGUGGCGAACGGGUGAGUAACACGUGAGUAACCUGCCCUUGACUUUGGGAUAACUUCAGGAAACUGGGGCUAAUACCGGAUAGGAGCGCCUGCUGCAGGGGGGGGGUAGGAAAGUUUCGGCGGUUGGGGAUGGACUCGCGGCUUAUCAGCUUGUUGGUGGGGUAGUGGCUUACCAAGGCGUUGACGGGUAGCCGGCCUGAGAGGGUGACCGGCCACCUUGGGACUGCGAUACGGCCCAGACUCCUACUUGAGGCAGCAGUGGGGAAUAUUGCACAGUGGGCGGACGCCUGAUGCAGCAACGCCGCGUGCGGGAUGCCGGCCUUCUGGUUGUAAACCGCUUUCGCCUGUGACGAAGCGUGAGUGACGGUAAUGGGUAAAGAAGCACCGGCUAACUACGUG
rnacentral:rRNA from 1 species